rnacentral:rRNA from 1 species
AUGCCGAGGUCUUCUUCCUCCCCGUCCUCCUGCUCCGCGCCCCGCAUCCUCGGCAGGGCCAUGGCCAUCCUCUCCCUGCCGCUCACGCCGCUCUCCAAGGCCAGGGCGGCGCGGACCCUGCUCCUCUUCAAGAAGCGCCGCGCGCGCCGCCUGCGCCACUACAACUACGCCUACGUGGGCGAGUACCAGUUCUCCCCGUCCGGCUCCCCGCUGCUCCUGCCCCGCCCGCCCGGCGUCUCCGCGUGGCGCGCCAAGCGCAGGAGCCGGGCCAGGACGGUCCUCGCCGCGCUGCUCUGCGGCGGCGGGUGCGGCCUCGGCGUCUUCGACGGGGACGGCGGGAUCGACGUCGCUGUGCUCGACGGCCUGCUUCCCCUGCCUCGGGCUCUGCAGGACGACGAACGGGCCGGUGAGGACGCCGCGUCGUACGGGUACGGCGAGCAAGCGUACCACGGCGAGGAGGAGGAGGAGGAGGAUGAGGAAGUGGAGGUGGAGUGCGAGGGCGGGGGGGACGAGGAGGUGGACGGCCGGGCGGAGCGGUUCAUCGAGAGGUUCUACGAGGAGAUGAGGAUGCAGCAGAGGCGCCUCCUCUAG